rnacentral:rRNA from 1 species
AUGCGCCCCCAACCACUGGGUUAUGCCCACGUCCUCUCAAGCGACCUCCUGAGCUGGGUAUUUCUGGAGCCGGCCAUAGCUCCCUCUGCUCCGUACGACGCCAAAGGCACCUGGUCAGGCUCGGCGACCGUCCUGCCGGACGGCAGGAUCAACCUCAUGUACACUGGAGUCCAAGUUCACGGACGACAGGUUCAGAAUCUCGCCGUCCCGAGGAACUACUCCGACCCAUUUCUCCGCGAGUGGGUGAAAUCACAACUCAACCCCGUGAUCGUCCCGGGGGCCGGUGUCAACUCCACUGAAUUCAGAGACCCGAGCACCGCGUGGAGAGGCGCGGACGGACUCUGGCGGGUCCUGCUUGCGACGAAAGACCAUCGCCGGCAUCUGGUCCUCCUAUACAGAAGCACAGACUUCACGCAUUGGUCGGCGGCAAGACGGCCGUUCCACGAAGGCCACACGGGAAUGGUCGAAUGCGCGGAUUUCUUUCCGCUGAGCUCGGCCGGCAGUGUGAAGCACGUCUUGAAGAUCAGCGUCCUGGAGAGCCGCCGCGACGUGUACUUUCUCGGUGCGUAUGAUGACAGCACCGACAAGUUCCUGCCGGACGACGGCAACGACGACGGGCUCCAGCUGGAUUUCGGCAUUUUUUACGCGUCAAAGUCAUUUUUCGACCCUUCAAGGCGCCGUCGAGUCGUGUGGGCCUGGGCCAAAGAACAAGACGCGACGGCCGACGACGAGCAGAAAGGUUGGGCGGGGGUGUUGGCCAUACCCAGGGAGGUAUGGCUGGCGCACGACGGCAGACAGCUGAUGACAUGGCCUGUCGCGGAGGUGGACUCCCUCCGCACCAACCGGGUCCACAUCGCGGACAUGACCAUACAGUCCGGCGACUAUUUAGAGAUUGCGGGGCUCCAGUUGCCUGCCCAAGCCGACUUGGACGUGGAGUUCCAGGUGAGCAACUUGGAGAGAGCCGAGCCCUUCCAGUGGCGAGCGGCUGAGGCCGCGGACCUCUGCGCGGCGAGGGGGGCCGAUGUCCAGGGCGGCGUCGGCCCCUUUGGGGUCUGGGUGCUGGCUUCCCGCGACCUACGCGAGAGGACCGCCGUGUCUAUAAGCGUUUUCAAGGCCGACGAAGGGAAGCACAUGAUCCUCUUCUGCAACGACGUCUCGAACUCUUCGUAUUCGGACCAAGUGGACAAACACAACUAUGGUGGACUCGUUCAACUCGAUCUCGCCAAAGCCGGGGGAAGGAUCAGUCUCCGUACUCUGGUUGACAAUUGCAUAGUUGAAGCGUUCGGAAGCCACGGCAAGAUUGCCAUCCUCUCCAGGGUCUACCCCACCUCGGCUGUUGGGAACAAGGCGCGUGCUUUCGUUUUCAAUAAAGGGAAGUCAACCAUCGUGGUUUCAAGACUAGAUGCCUACGAUAUGGCAUCUGUCAAAAUCAGCUGA